rnacentral:rRNA from 1 species
UGUGUAGGCGGUCGCGCAAGUCUGAUGUGAAAUCUUCGCCGCUCAACGGGAAGAGGUCAUUGGAAACUGCGUGACUUGAGUAUGGUAGAGGCAGGCGGAAUUCCUGGUGUAGCGGUGGAAUGUGUAGAUAUCAGGAAGAACACCGGUGGCGAAGGCGGCCUGCUGGGCCAUCACUGACGCUGAGGCACGAAAGCGUGGGGAGCAAAC